rnacentral:rRNA from 1 species
GUUUGAUCCUGGCUCAGGAUGAACGCUAGCUACAGGCUUAACACAUGCAAGUCGAGGGGAAACGACAUCGAAAGCUUGCUUUUGAUGGGCGUCGACCGGCGCACGGGUGAGUAACGCGUAUCCAACCUGCCCACCACUUGGGGAUAACCUUGCGAAAGUAAGACUAAUACCCAAUGAUAUCUCUAGAAGACAUCUGAAAGAGAUUAAAGAUUUAUCGGUGAUGGAUGGGGAUGCGUCUGAUUAGCUUGUUGGCGGGGUAACGGCCCACCAAGGCGACGAUCAGUAGGGGUUCUGAGAGGAAGGUCCCCCACAUUGGAACUGAGACACGGUCCAAACUCCUACGGGAGGCAGCAGUGAGGAAUAUUGGUCAAUGGGCGAGAGCCUGAACCAGCCAAGUAGCGUGCAGGAUGACGGCCCUAUGGGUUGUAAACUGCUUUUAUAAGGGAAUAAAGUGAGAGUCGUGACUCUUUUUGUAUGUACCUUAUGAAUAAGGACCGGCUAAUUCCGUGCCAGCAGCCGCGGUAAUACGGAAGGUCCGGGCGUUAUUCGGAUUUAUUGGGUUUAAAGGGAGCGUAGGCCGGAGAUUAAGCGUGUUGUGAAAUGUAGAUGCUCAACAUCUGAACUGCAGCGCGAACUG